GCUCAGGAUGAACGCUAGCGGCAGGCUUAACACAUGCAAGUCGAGGGGUAACAGAGAAAAGCUUGCUUUUUUGCUGACGACCGGCGCACGGGUGCGUAACGCGUAUGCAAUCUACCUUUUGCUAAGGGAUAGCCCAGAGAAAUUUGGAUUAAUACCUUAUAGUAUGAUUACUUGGCAUCAAGAUAUCAUUAAAGGUUACGGCAAAAGAUGAGCAUGCGUUCUAUUAGCUAGUUGGUGUGGUAACGGCAUACCAAGGCAACGAUAGAUAGGGGUCCUGAGAGGGAGAUCCCCCACACUGGUACUGAGACACGGACCAGACUCCUACGGGAGGCAGCAGUGAGGAAUAUUGGACAAUGGAGGUAACUCUGAUCCAGCCAUGCCGCGUGCAGGAAGACUGCCCUAUGGGUUGUAAACUGCUUUUAUACAGGAAGAAACACCUCUACGUGUAGAGAU
rnacentral:rRNA from 1 species